rnacentral:lncRNA from 1 species
AAAAGACAGGAAAAACAGAUCCUAAUUAGGAUAAAAACCACUUACUAAUCCUUAAUUAAUAGGCGGGUGAUAAUUAGUCCACCUCUGCCAAUUUCUGCCUUGCAACAAAAGUGACAAAACAGCCCCAAAAUUGGCCCCAACAAUACACAAUACUACCAACUCGACUUAGACUCAAUUCGACUCGACUCAUUAGAUAUGUAGCAUUACAUAGUAUUGGACACUUUAAUACUGCCCAAUACAGAAAAUUUCAAAAUCCACCUAACGAAAUUCACCGUAAUUGGCUACCGGCGAAGGUCUGUCCAAAAGACCAGCUUGGAGGAGCAACAUUGUAAGAAACCACGGUGCGGCCAUCGCUGGUGGUGACCUUAAACGAGAGGCUUUGGCCGUUAAGAUAGUUGUUGCUCUGCCAAUUUUGGCCCCAAUUUCUCGACAUAGGCUGCCAACCGGUCCUCGACCCCUUUAUCGACACUGCAUGAACAUCACCGGCGCCACCAACAUUGGUUAUGAGUACUAGGUUGAAGUAGGAGUGGCCAUUAAGUGUGAACCUUAUACCUCCCCUUCUUUUGCAGGGUACCCUACAAAAUUAAAGUCACAACAGUUACCAAUUUAGCACCAAAACAGUCACCAUCAAACCGAAGUGCCAAUAGGAAUAGUACUAGCAGUAAAUAUUCAUAACCUAGGACCACAAGAAAAUUUAUAAACCUAGCAGUAAAUAUUCAUUUAAUGCUAAAAUACCUUCUGUAAGCAACAGGGACAAUUCCAGCUCUGUACUGUGCAAUGUGUUGAAAAACAGGCUGGGAGAGGUCAAAGUGGUGCUGAGGAGGGUUGCACCACCCUCCUGCAUUGUUCGGAAGUGCAUUAUUUGGUGGACAGAAAUUGGUGGCUGUGACCAUAAUUGAACCAGGCAAGCACCAUUGCCUCUCAUUAACACAUCUAAUCUCAAAACAAGACCCACAGCUCAACCCACUGUUGAACAGAGCUGUACUCAAAGCUGCAGUGUUUGUACCAUACCCUUGGCUGUACAAAUUUCCGUAGCCACAAG